rnacentral:lncRNA from 10 species
CUAACUCUGUUUCUCAAUAUUUGUUUACCCAAGGAGACAAGCACUCUUCAGCCCCUCUGGUGUGUGCAUUUCUGUUGGAAGCAACCAGGCUGGGUGCCAAUGGAGAUGAGCCCACACCUGGCUCAGAGGGCCUGUGGCAGCAUGACUUGUGCACUGCUUCAUGGUGGUCGCUGACCUGGCAGGUUAUCAUCCACUUCCCAGGAUUCUCGGCUAUCAUUUCUGUUGUGCCAGGACACAGAUUCUCCAACACACAUAUCAGGCUCCGGGAAGUUUCCGAAGAGGUAUCCAUUGAGGGCUGGAAACAGAAACACGCUAGUGGAAGAGACUCCCCUGCAGAGGCGACUGGGACCAGAAAUGUUGAGAAAUGAAAUGUUUUUAUUGGCCUUUUUCCAGAGAAAACACUCAAUAAAAGUGAAGAUCAGCAUACACUGAGAACAGCCUCGGAGCUGCUGUGGGAACGCAAUAUGAGGUCAGGAGAAAACAGAGUGCUGCUCAUAUUUACAGGAGGCUCAGUCACCUUCUGUCAUAAUCCUUCACUGGCAUAUCUGCUGUCUUCACCAGAUUCUGUGCUCCUUGGAACUAGAAACCCUGUCUUGUUCAUCUUAACAGUUAUCAGGACCUAGCAGAAAAACUGGCACAUAGUAUCUACUUAAUGAAGUGACAAAAGCAUGUAGUAAGAUGGAAAGAAAAGGAAUUGAUUAAAAGGAAUUUAUGAGAACUGUUUUGUUUGUUUGUUUGUUUACUUUAAAAAGCCAAGAGAAAAACAGUUUUUACUACAUGUUGCUGGAGCAGAAUCUUAUUAAGUUUAUGGCGUAAAUCCAGGACCGAAUACUUUAAAACCAUCUA